rnacentral:rRNA from 1 species
AUUAGGAAUCUUGCACAAUGGGCGAAAGCCUGAUGCAGCGACGCCGCGUGAGGGAGGAAGUCCUUCGGGAUGUAAACCUCUUUUAUCAGGGAAGAAAAAAAUGACGGUACCUGAUGAAUAAGCUCCGGCUAACUACGUGCCAGCAGCCGCGGUAAUACGUAGGGAGCGAGCGUUGUCCGAAGUUACUGGGCGUAAAGCGCGCGUAGGCGGGUUUGCAAGUCGGAGGUGAAAUGCUGUGGCUCAACCACAUGCAGUGCCUCCGAUACUUCAAGUCUUGAGUGCGGUAGGGAGAAGUGGAAUGGCUGGUGUAGCGGUGAAAUGCGUAGAUAUCAGUCGGAACACCGGUGGCGAAGGCGGCUUCUUGGGCCGUUACUGACGCUGAUGCGCGAAAGCCAGGGGAGCGAACGG